rnacentral:rRNA from 1 species
GAUGAACGCUAGCUACAGGCUUAACACAUGCAAGUCGAGGGGCAGCGCAGUGUAGCAAUACAUGGGCGGCGACCGGCGCACGGGUGCGUAACGCGUAUCCAACCUUCCCGUUACUCAGGGAUAGCCUUCCGAAAGGGAGAUUAAUACCUGAUGGUGUUUGAAUUCCGCAUGCUAUUCAAACUAAAGAUUUAUCGGUAACGGAUGGGGAUGCGUGACAUUAGAUAGUAGGCGGGGUAACGGCCCACCUAGUCUACGAUGUCUAGGGGUUCUGAGAGGAAGGUCCCACGCACUGGAACUGAGACACGGUCCAGACUCCUACGGGAGGCAGCAGUGAGGAAGAUUGGGCAAUGGUCGGAAGACUGAACCAGCCAAGUAGCGUGAAGGAUGAAGGUUCUAUGGAUGGUAAACUUCUUUUAUACGGGAAUAAAACCUCCCACGUGUGGGAGCUUGUAUGUACCGUAUGAAUAAGCAUCGGCUACUCCGUGCCAGCCGCCGCGGUAAUAC